rnacentral:antisense_RNA from 1 species
UGUAGGAGUGAGCCUGCUCGCGAUAGCGGUGUAUCAGUCAGUAUUUGCAUCGACUGACACGACGCUAUCGCGAGCAGGCUCACUCCUACA